rnacentral:tRNA from 2 species
GGGCCGUUAGCUCAGUCGGUAGAGCAACAGACUUUUAAUCUGUGGGUCGUUGGUUCGACUCCAACACGGCUCACCA